UACGAAGGGGGCUAGCGUUGUUCGGAUUUAUUGGGCGUAAAGCGCACGUAGGCGGUUCUUUAAGUCAGAGGUGAAAUCCCAAGGCUCAACCUUGGAACUGCCUUUGAUACUGGGGAUCUUGAGUACGGGAGAGGUGAGUGGAACUGCGAGUGUAGAGGUGAAAUUCGUAGAUAUUCGCAAGAACACCAGUGGCGAAGGCGGCUCACUGGCCCGAUACUGACGCUGAGGCACGAAAGCGUGGGGAGCAAACAGG
rnacentral:rRNA from 1 species